GUUUGGGUGAUGACUGAGCGAUUUGUCGGAUACCCCUUCACCCCUCUGAUGGGUGACAACAGCAAAGUCUGACAAAC
rnacentral:snoRNA from 1 species